rfam:Ciona savignyi cont_30192, whole genome shotgun sequence.
GGCGCCAUGGCUUAGUGGUAUAGCGCCUGUCUUGUAAACAGGAGAUCCUGGGUUCGAUCACCAGUGGUGCCU